AUCGGAACCAAAUUCAAGCUGGGUGUGACUAACGUCUGGUCACAAUUAUGUACUUAAUGGAUUGGGAUUUAACCUUUAUGUUUCUGCGUAGGAACCUUAAGGAAUAGUUUGCUUUCUUGGAUUUAUGGUAGAUCAAGAUAAAAUUUCAACUUCUUAUUCUGGCGUUGAUUAAAUAAUUGUUAGGGACUUAAAACACACGGGUGGAAUUUGCUGCUUUUAUUUAACUACUGUUCCUUUCGUUACUGUGACAGUGUCAUAGAAUUUCCCAAAUCGGAGACUUUGUUCAUGACCUGAGACCGGAGUCCGUUGUUAAGUAACCCCAAUUGUAUUUAGUGGUUGUCAACCUAAAGAAAAUGCUUUUACAAAACUAAAAUGGCAUCAAAAAUUGCUAAAAACUUGACAAGAAUACCUUUAUGGAAGAGGGAGAUUCCUAGGCCUCCUCUCUACUACAAAGGGGAUGAAAAAAGACAAGAAUUUCUUCCACUGUUUUGGAUGAAGAUUAUUCCUCCGGAACUUAAGAUGCCUAAGAAUAUUGUAUCAUUUAUAGUGCAUCCACAGUGAGUUGAAUCACAGAUCUAAAUUAGUAAUUUCACAUGAAAUUCUCAAUAAAAAUACGAUAUUUCA